UACGGGGGAGGGACAGCUGUUCGGUGAAUUACUGGGCGUAAAGGGCUCGUAGGCGGCCAACUAAGUCGAUGUGAAGUCCCCAGGCUUAACUUGGGAACUGCAUCCGAUACUGGAUGGCUUGAAUCCGGGAGAGGGAUGCGGAAUUCCAGGUGUAGCGGUGAAAUGCGUAGAUAUCUGGAGGAACACCGGUGGCGAAGGCGGCAUCCUGGACCGGCAUUGACGCUGAUGAGCGAAAGCCAGGGGAGCAAACGGG
rnacentral:rRNA from 1 species